GGACUCCUACUGUCAGAUGCAUUCGAUAUGUAAACCAGACAGAACACAGAUACUGUCUGGAAGAUGGAGUCACUGCACUACUGUGUGAUUGUUCCUUUGUUUCUGACCAUACUAAAAGGUGUCAGCUGUGAAGAACUCACUGCAGAGAACGAUGAAGAGUUCAGUUCAGAAGGCAGCUCUGUUACUCUGUCCUACACAUACUCCAAACUGUCAACUGGUGAUCAUUUCUUCUGGUAUCGACAGUAUCCAGGAAAACCACCAGAGUUUCUCAUGUACAUCUCAGGGCUCAACAUCACAAGACCAGCAGAGUCUCUGAAAUCAGACACAAAGUUCUCUACUAAACUGUCUGGAGAAAAACAUCUGGAUCUGCAGAUCUCCUCUGCUGCAGUGACAGACUCUGCUGUGUACUACUGUGCUGUGAAGCCCACAGUGACAGGAAACACCAAAACUCUGUACAAAAACCUGACAGCUCCUCUGAAGAUUUACUCACUUCAGCUCCUCCUUUAACUGAACAACAGCGCCACCAAGUGGACACUGACAACACAAUCUAAUGACAAGUUACAAUAUUACUCCUGUUAUUAAUAAAACACAGUUAAUCCA